AACGAACGCUGGCGGCAUGCCUAACACAUGCAAGUCGAACGAGACCUUCGGGUCUAGUGGCUCACGGGUGCGUAACGCGUGGGAACCUGCCCUUAGGUUUGGAAUAACUCCCCGAAAGGGGUGCUAAUACCGGAUAAUGUCUUCGGACCAAAGAUUUAUCGCCUUUGGAUGGGCCCGCGUUGGAUUAGCUAGUUGGUAGGGUAAAAGCCUACCAAGGCGACGAUCCAUAGCUGGUCUGAGAGGAUGAUCAGCCACACUGGGACUGAGACACGGCCCAGACUCCUACGGGAGGCAGCAGUGGGGAAUAUUGGACAAUGGGCGAAAGCCUGAUCCAGCAAUGCCGCGUGAGUGAUGAAGGCCUUAGGGUUGUAAAGCUCUUUUACCCGGGAUGAUAAUGACAGUACCGGGAGAAUAAGCUCCGGCUAACUCCGUG
rnacentral:rRNA from 1 species